rnacentral:tRNA from 1 species
UUAAUUGAAGCCAAAGAGGAGGCACCUCAAUGUUAAUGAGGGGGAUGAUUUUUAUUAAUCCAAUUAAG